rnacentral:rRNA from 1 species
CCUACGGGCGGCAGCAGUGAGGAAUAUUGGUCAAUGGACGAGAGUCUGAACCAGCCAAGUAGCGUGAAGGAUGACUGCCCUAUGGGUUGUAAACUUCUUUUAUAUGGGAAUAAAAUGUUCCACGUGUGGGAUUUUGUAUGUACCAUAUGAAUAAGGAUCGGCUAACUCCGUGCCAGCAGCCGCGGUAAUACGGAGGAUCCGAGCGUUAUCCGGAUUUAUUGGGUUUAAAGGGAGCGUAGGUGGAUUGUUAAGUUAGUUGUGAAAGUUUGCGGCUCAACCGUUAAAUUGCAAUUAAGACUGGCAGACUUGAGUACAGAAGAGGUAGGCGGAAUACGUGGAGUAGCGGUGAAAUGCUUAGAUAUCACGAAGAACUCCGAUUGCGAAGGCAGUUGACUGGACUGCGACUGACACUGAGGCUCGAGAGUGUGGGUAUCGAACAGGAUUAGAUACCCCUGUAGUC